rnacentral:tRNA from 1 species
GCCUGGGUGGCUCAGUCGGUUAAGCAUCCAACUCUUGAUUUUGGCUCAGGUCAUGAUCUCGCGGUUCGUGGGUUCAAGCCCCACACCGGGCU